CCGUUAAUGACCCCAUCCCCGAGCUAAUUACUUAGAUCGAUUAAUUAAGCAGCUUGCUAAAAGGCUAUUAAUUUAGCAGCUAUUUUGCAGCGCCAACGGACCAACAAGAGUUUGUACGUUUGUAAAAACUUAAAAGGUGCGAAUUUUGACCGGAAAUGUUUAGCACCUAAUCAACACAUUUUUUUUUACACAUUUCAGGGAGUAAACCCAUAUUAAUUAGCCAGUCGUCAACUGUAUUAUUAUUUAAAGGUUCAGGGCAAAUACACUACCGCGCUCAGAUAGUGAAGGCACAACUUUCCUUGUAGAAUUAUCCUUCACCACACGAGGUAGGUCUGAUUACAGACGCUGUAUUUAAGUUCCGUUGUUUAGCCCUCAAGUGCACACAUUAUGAAUUUGUCAAUAUCGUGCUACGCUGUUUUAACCGGGGUCUGGCGUGAUUUUUCGUCUCUAAAAUUAAAAUAGCUUACUGAUUCAAUAGCAAUUCCAUCGAUCGAUAUACACUGUGUCUGGCUGUUUGAGCAACACGAUAAGGUUUCAAAGUUUGAGAGUUCGUCACAAAAGACCAAUUUCAAGGUCUUUUGUGAAGUUAUUUGAAGCAAAUUGUGUCGUCAACAGGACUGAGUCGUAUUGAUUAAUAUACAGCUGUUAUUGCAAAGUGGUCACAAUAGUAUCUCAAGAGGCAAAAAAGAAUGUUUCAGAAGCUAUUUUUCAUUCACUUGGGGACCAACAACCAGGCUAUAUGAAGGAAAAUGCAAAAAUUAAUAAUUCAGUUAUUUUAAUUUGCGUGACACAAGUACUUUGGUCACUCAGGCACAUAUUUGUUAAUGACAUGCACCACGCUAGAUUUGCAUAACAUCCUCGUUUGUAAACCGAUGGCUUUCAGGCGCCGAGCUCGAUCGAGCUACGUUCGCAGACGUACAAAACGAGAAAGUGCCGAGUCACAAUGAUACCACAAUUUCUUUCCGGGUCGAGGUUCAUUCAAAGAUAUUCGAUAAGUUACUUCCUUUUCUCGCCACGCAGACAGAUUUUCAAAACGCCGGCAGGCAUCCAGUGAUCAACUUAGUAAGCUAUGGCAACCUUCAAAGGCUAAGCUGGCGGAUGUACAUUUGUGUUGUGAAGAACCCGUAAAACAACAGUACAACAGUUGGUGAACUAUUUCGCGUUAAUUCAGCAAUAUUGGGUAAG